CUCAUCCGCUCCAGCUCCCUGGACUCCGGACCCUGGCUGGCGCCUGCCCGGGGCUCCUUGUGUUUCUGCAAACCUGACUUCUCGGGGACCUCAGCAAGACUUGCCAUUGGCAGCGGCUGCAGUGCGCCCCUUCCCCCUGCUGGGGACACCGGGUCCCCCUGCCAGCACUGGGGGGCUCUCACGACAGGCAGAGUGACGUCACAAGGAGCCCCCUGUCCAGGUCGGGGCAGCUCCGAUCCCGGCACUGGGGCCCCGGUCCCAGUCCGUGGUCUCCUCCUCCUGGCUCUCGCCAGCCCCAUGAGCCCGAGCCGAGCAUGCUGGGGUCAGGGGUGUGGGUGGAUUUGCUCCCCAGUGCUGGGCAGGCACUGGCCCUGGGGUGCGGCGGGCUCUGCCUGUGUCCAGCCAGGCCUUGGCUGGUGUGGGAUGAUGGGCCAGACCGGGAGUGACUUGGGGAUCCUGGGAUCCUGCUGGGAUCUGGGGAGCUGGGCGGGUGGGCUGUGAACUCACAGGGACCCUGAUCAAAUGGCCACAGAGGAACAGGGCAUGAGGAGGCCAGAGGGGCAGGGCUGGCCCGGGGCCCACCCAGCCCAGCGGCUUUAAAUCUGCUCAUCUGGGGACAGAAAGGGGUCGUUCCCAUGAUGCUUACGCUGACACCAGUGUAUCAGACCAGGGUCCAGCUGCCUGGGGUGGGCCUGGGAUGGGGCCUGGACUCCCCACAACCACACACUCGAUACCUGGCACCCUGAAAGGCACAGCCUGAGCAGCGCUGCGGCAGGGAGACGCUUUCAAGGCUCCCGGAAUCCACACAGAGCUUGACAGAGGCCUGGGGCAGGUGGAGACUCCGGUGGUGCUCAGGUUGCCUCCACCACAGGGCCCUGGGUUGAAGGUCUGGAGAGUCAGCAGCCGCUUGUUCCUCGGGGUUGCCCCACUCCUGAGAUCCACCAGUUUGUCACAGCAGGGGCUGUGCAGGGAGGAGGGGCUGGCCCAUGGGCUGGGUGGCACCCAGGGCUCCCUGCCCACUGUGACCACUGACUAGAGGGGACACUGAGGGGAGGACCUCGCUAGCAUCCUGUGCGAAUUUAACUCGAGUUGGAGCUUGUGCAGAAGGAAGUCCUCGUGCCACUCUCAGUGCCACUGGGGUAGAGUUGGCCAGACGAGGCUGUGGGGGCACAGCUCAGGCGGCAGGGACGGGGACAGACACGAGGCAGGCCCUGCUGAGCCAUCGGAGCGUGGCAGUCCAGGCACAGGGGUCAUGUGCAUGGCGUCCUGGGUCCAGAGGACAGAGGCCCAGCUGCCCUGUGCGGAGUUUCGGGUGUCCUCCCGGGAGGGAGGUCCAAGAGCGCCCCGCAUCAGCCUGAGGGAGGGGAGGCUUCUGCGUCCUGGGAGCUGUGCGCAACCCCUGCCGGAACAAUCAAGAAACUGAGGCAGGGGAGAGAACGGGACUGACUGUGUCCACGAGGUAAGCAGUGUCCAGUCAGGAAUGGAGGGGCCUGGCUUCCCAGGCCAGGCUCAGCCCUACAGGGUCUGCAAGGGGAAUGAAGGCCCUCAGAUCUGGGGGAUCCCUGCCUCCCCCCUCCUCUGUAGGCCAUUUCCUCUCUGCUUUAUGAGCUGCACCCAGAAGUGCAGCACACACUCACUUAUACUCCCUCACAUGCUAACACACUCACACAUAGACUCACAGGGCCCAGGGCAGAGGAGCGGGGACCCUGGGAGGUAAGGAAGAAGGAAGACGUUGGAGGCAGCUCUGCCAAGGCCCAGGGGCAUCCAGUCUCCUAGCAGCAAGCCAGGGUCAUUGCAUGGGAGGGGGGACUUUCCACGGUGAUGGGGUCCCCCCAGGCUCCCAGGGUCUGUCUGCCUGGGCUGGGGACACCCCCAGAGCAGCCCAAGAGGACACACUGGGGCCCAGAGCCCAUGGAUUGGGUCACGUGGGAGAGGAUGAGACCCCUCAGUGAGGGGGGCCCACAGGAGAGGAGGACUCAGUCCUGCUCUAUGAAUUAGACGCUCGGCCCGGGUGAUGCAGGGUCCCGCGGCUCCUGAAAGUUUCUGGAAGUUUCUGAAACGCGGUCCUCCGUUGAUGGCCCAGGGCCCCUGUGUUGCUAGCACAUGGUUCCUCUUCACUGGGCUCCCCCUGAGCAGAGCAGCCCAGGGACUGGGCACCUAGAGCCCCGGGCCCCUCGUCCUAGGUCCAGGGCGAGACCAUCCCUGUGGACUCAUGGGGUCCUCAGUUGGACGUGGCUGGGGUCACUGUCCUGGCUGGGGCCUGGAGCCCUCUGGAGUGAGCCGGACACCUGGGGCAGCAGAGGGAAAGGGGACAAGGGAGACUGAAAUCCUUCAUCACGCAGGGCUGGCUCUUGCACCCUCUGGGCCUUGGGGGACUCCACGCCCAGCCGCAGUUCAGGUGUCCUGCCAGGGCGCAGUGCUACUGCUGGCCACCAGGGGGAGCAGUCCCUACCGUGCUGCAGGGACCCUGCCUCCCACCCCGGGGCACUCCAGCCUGGAGGAGAUCCUGUGCCCAGGGCGAGCUGCCCGGGGCAGGACAGCUCGGGCUGCUCUCACCUCCUCUCUCGGCCCCAUGCCGAACACCACCAAACCAUGGCCAUGAGCCAAGUCCAGUGUCCCAGUCACCGGAAGCCGUUCCUCACCCCCGUCACCUCCCUGGCCCCCCGGCCCCUAACGUGCUCCUGUCUCCGUGGACGCGCGAAGGGCGGCCACGUCACCUGAGGCUCAGUGUGUGCCUUUCGGGAGUGGCUUCUUCCGUUACACGGAGUGUCACCGUUCCCCUUGCUGUAGCGUGUGUCCAACGGCACCCUCUCCACGAGUCGGGCUCUGUGCUGUGGACGACACCACGCGCGUGGUUCCCCCACUCACCCCUGGGGGGCGCUGCGGUUGUCCCUACUUGAGGCUGUCGGGGGCCUGAGGGCGUGGCUGGAGAAGUGGGCGGGGCCGUCAGAGACCCCAGGUUGGCACCGGCGACUCUCAGGACCCUCGUGCAGACCUCAGGAGCUCCCGAGAGUCGGACGGCUGGAGGAGAGCAGACGCCAGGAGGAGCCCGCUGUCUCGUCUCCUCACGGUAGCCCGCCCUGGCUUUUGCAGACCCAAGAAAGAACCUGGAAUACUUUUGUUUGGCGACCCACGUCUAAAGGAAUGACCUGACAGCACGCUGGCGAAGCCAGCCAGGAGCUGACAGAGGAGCGAGCCUUCGUGUGGCGUUUCAGCUUCUCUUGGGGGAGCACCAGGAAUGACGCUGCAGGCCGUGAGGCAGACGGCACGGCACCGGCACUCUGGGCCGGACCAUUGCAGUAUCGUCCCAGCUGCUCCUCUGCUUCUGUGCUCCUCACGACCUGUCCUCGGUGAGCACGGGGCCGACCCUUUAAGAGUGCCUCACCCUCACUCUGUCAAGGCCUCCAGGGCCCCAUUCCCCUCAGAGGAGAGCCUGGGGUCCUUGUAACACCCUCAGCCCCACAGCGGGCCCUGCCCUCCCGGGCCCGAGUUUCUGCCCGUCCUCCCCAUACCUUCCCGGCACGUGCCAGGCCCCGGCGCCCCCAGGUCAGCACUCGACGUCCCUCCCCCAGGCGCCUCUCCCGCCGGCCGUUCGUGCCUCACUUCCCCCACUAUCUUCAGUUCUCUGAGCAAAUGCCGCCUUGGUGAGGCUGACCGCACCCUUCCAUCUAAAACACAAACACCCCUUGUCCCCCCAGCCACUGUCCGACCUGUUCCAUUUGCUUUUCCCCCAUAGCCCUUAUGACCUUUAAUAAAAAUGAUAUAUAAUUAUAUGAAUCAGCGAUCAAUCAGGAGCGAGAAC
rnacentral:lncRNA from 1 species